rnacentral:rRNA from 1 species
GACGAACGCUGGCGGCGUGCCUAACACAUGCAAGUCGAGCGAUGAAAUUAGAAACGGAGUCUUCGGACGAAGAGGAAAAUGGAUUAGCGGCGGACGGGUGAGUAACACGUGAGCAACCUGCCUAUCACAUCGGGAUAGCCUCGGGAAACUGGGAUUAAUACCGAAUGAAACAUAAUCACUGCCUAGUGGAAGUGUCAAAGAUUUAUCGGUGAUAGAUGGGCUCGCGUUUGAUUAGCUAGUUGGUGAGGUAAUGGCUCGCCAAGGCGACGAUCAGUAGCCGGCCUGAGAGGGUGAACGGCCACAGUGGGCAUGAGACACGGCCCAAACUCAUACGGGAGGCAGCAGUGGGGAAUAUUGCACAAUGGAGGGAACUCUGAUGCAGCGACGCCGCGUGAGCGAUGAAGGCUUUCGAGUCGUAAAGCUCUGUCGAAUGGGAAGAUAAUGACGGUACCAUUUGAGAAAGCCCCGGCUAACUACGUGCCAGCCGCCGCCGUAAUAC